rnacentral:rRNA from 1 species
GACGAACGCUGGCGGCGUGCCUAAUACAUGCCAGUAGAACGCUGAAGGAGGAGCUUGCUUCUCUGGAUGAGUUGCGAACGGGUGAGUAACGCGUAGGUAACCUGCCUGGUAGCGGGGGAUAACUAUUGGAAACGAUAGCUAAUACCGCAUAAGAGUAGAUGUUGCAUGACAUUUGCUUAAAAGGUGCAAUUGCAUCACUACCAGAUGGACCUGCGUUGUAUUAGCUAGUUGGUGGGGUAACGGCUCACCAAGGCGACGAUACAUAGCCGACCUGAGAGGGUGAUCGGCCACACUGGGACUGAGACACGGCCCAGACUCCUACGGGAGGCAGCAGUAGGGAAUCUUCGGCAAUGGACGGAAGUCAGACCGAGCAACGCCGCGUGAGUGAAGAAGGUUUUCGGAUCGUAAAGCUCUGUUGUAAGAGAAGAACGAGUGUGAGAGUGGAAAGUUCACACUGUGACGGUAUCUUACCAGAAAGGGACGGCUAACUACGUG